rnacentral:rRNA from 1 species
GAUGAACGCUGGCGGCGUGCCUAAUACAUGCAAGUAGAACGCUGAAGGAAGGAGCUUGCUCUUUCCGGAUGAGUUGCGAACGGGUGAGUAACGCGUAGGUAACCUGCCUGGUAGCGGGGGGUAACUAUUGGAAACGAUAGCUAGUACCGCAUAACAGUAGAUGUUGCAUGAUAUCUACUUAAAAGGUGCAAUUGCACCACUACCAGAUGGACCUGCGUUGUAUUAGCUAGUUGGUGAGGUAACGGCUCACCAAGGCGACGAUACAUAGCCGACCUGAGAGGGUGAUCGGCCACACUGGGACUGAGACACGGCCCAGACUCCUACGGGAGGCAGCAGUAGGGAAUCUUCGGCAAUGGACGGAAGUCUGACCGAGCAACGCCGCGUGAGUGAAGAAGGUUUUCGGAUCGUAAAGCUCUGUUGUAAGAGAAGAACGAGUGUGAGAGUGGAAAGUUCACACUGUGACGGUAUCUUACCAGAAAGGGACGGCUAACUACGUG